AUUUUUGUAGUUUGAAGGAAAAUAAUUUGAUGGUUAAUACUGAACACAAAGGCCACUUUGUUGAAGAUUUUUCUUUUUUUCCUUUCCUUUUUUUUUUUUUUAGAGACAGCGUCUUCCUCUGUCACCCAGGCUGGAGUGCAGUGGCACGAUCUCGGCUCACUGCAACCUCCACUUCCUGGGUUCAAGCGAUUCUCCUGUCUCAGCCUCCGAGUAGCUGCGAUUAUGCACCUGUGCCACCAUGCCCAGGUAAUUUUUGUAUGUUUCCAUAGAGGCUGGGUUUUACUAUGUUGGCCAGGCUUGUCUCUAACUCCUGGCCUCAAGUGAUCUGCCUCAGCCUCCUAAAUUACUGGGAUUACAGUUGUAAUCUGAAGAUUUUUCUUUAGUUGUCCACCCUCAUUUAUUCAUUUGUUCGUUCAAAACAAUUUAUUGAGUACCUACUUUGUGUCAAAGGAAAACAGUGAAAUACAGUUUAAACUGGAUAACACACCUAAACUUCUUAACUUGAGUACAUUCAUCUGAAUAUCACUAUAGCCUGAGCACCAGCAAAAAAAAUUACCACUCAUUAUGGGCCGGCAGUCUGUUGCAUUCUUUUCAUGUUACCUUAUAAAAAUCUUCAAAACAAGCCUGUAAGAUCUGUGUUACUGUCUAUAUUUUUCAUAUAAGAAGAUGAAUUUCAGGAAGUUUUAAGUUUUACAUGUCCAAGAUCACAGAGUUAACUAAUGGCAAACCUGGGUUUGAAUUCAGCCAGAGGACAAAGAUCCUGCAAAAUCCUAUUGAUUUGCUCUCACCACUGUACCAAGUUUUAUUGCAAUCUGUUAACAUCUUUGGAAAUGCUUCGACAAGAUUCCAAAUCUACUGAUAGGAAAUCUUUUUCCUGCCAAGAUAUAGUGGUGAGUUUAAAGUGUUUGUAUACGUUUUUUCACUUUAUUUUCUUAAAAGAAGUAAUAGAAGUAAAGAAAAGGAAAGUCGCAUGGAAAAAUUCCUGACUUACUGAGUAGAUUCUUGCCAGACGACUCAGGCUUUCUGAUACAUAGAAAAAAAUCACAUUUGGAUACCCUUUUAUAAAAUCUUGACUAAACUGACAAAGCAAUGAAAGCAGGCCAGCUUACAAUUUCUAGUAUAUCGUAAGAGUUA
rnacentral:lncRNA from 10 species